GAUGAACGCUGGCGGCGUGCCUAAUACAAGCAAGUCGGGCGAACAGAUGAGGAGCUUGCUCCUCUGACGUUAGCGGCGGACGGGUGAGUAACACGUGGAUAACCUACCUAUAAGACUGGGAUAACUUCGGGAAACCGGAGCUAAUACCGGAUAAUAUAUUGAACCGCAUGGUUCAAUAGUGAAAGACGGUUUUGCUGUCACUUAUAGAUGGAUCCGCGCCGCAUUAGCUAGUUGGUAAGGUAACGGCUUACCAAGGCAACGAUGCGUAGCCGACCUGAGAGGGUGAUCGGCCACACUGGAACUGAGACACGGUCCAGACUCCUACGGGAGGCAGCAGUAGGGAAUCUUCCGCAAUGGGCGAAAGCCUGACGGAGCAACGCCGCGUGAGUGAUGAAGGUCUUCGGAUCGUAAAACUCUGUUAUUAGGGAAGAACAAAUGUGUAAGUAACUAUGCACGUCUUGACGGUACCUAAUCAGAAAGCCACGGCUAACUACGUG
rnacentral:rRNA from 1 species